CUGCCCAGGUGGGAAAAGAAGUGGUCCAUCAGAACGCAUAAUCUUAUCUGCUUCAAUCCUAGCAGUAUCAAGUGAACCCUUCAGAGCCACAAGCUGGUCUUCAUCUUUAGCUCCACAGAAUUCCUCUAAAUCACUGAUAAAACCUUCAAGAGCACGAUAUGGAGAGUAAACAAUUAGAUCAAAUCCUAGACUCUGGAAAACCAGCAUCUCAUUGUUGAGGAUUACAUGAUGAUCCUGUCCAAUACCCUUCCCAAG
rnacentral:misc_RNA from 1 species